UCUGUGUCUGUGUGUGUGUGUGUCUGUCUGUCUGUCUGUCUGUCUGUGUCUGUGUCUGUCUGUCUGUGUCUCUGUCUGUCUGUCUGUGUCUCUGUGUGACCACAUAAACCACACGAGUCGAGGACAUGUUGUCUGUUCCUCACUAGCUUAUAUCAUGUUAUUGUAACUUAAAAAAAAUAAAGUUCAGGGCAAAAAGGAAAAAAGAAGAAAACACAAUAAAACAGACGUGCUAAAACAAGAAGCUAAUCACAAGGUUAGAAAACAAAGACGAUAAAACACAACG